rnacentral:lncRNA from 1 species
CUCUUCCAGCUCCUCUUCCUGGUGUUUCUGGAACAGGCCUCGAGGGUCGUCGCCCACAGUACGGCCUAGAAGGCCAGAGGAGGGCUUGGCCAGUGACUUUUGGUGAGCGCCUCUUCUCGCCCCUGCCAGGAGAGCCUCAUCACUCCGUCCUUCUGUGUGACCCCUGCCUCUUCAGCAUCACGCCCCUCCCCCAGGCUCCAGCCACUUUGUGCCAGCUGCAGCCACAGCCCCUUCGACACUCCCAAAGAGCCCUGCGCUCCAGGUUCCAGCACCCCCAUCCUGCGCCCUCUUCUCCACACGCGCAUCCCCCCAGCUUCUCUCGCACCCCAGAGGCCUCCUGACACCCCCAGCCCCGCGCUUACUGGUGCCUUCAGGCAGGCUCAGGACGCCGUCGACCUCCACCCAGCGGUAACAAGGGAACCUGACCUCGUCCCCGGCUCCGGGGCCCUACACGGAGAUCCAGCUGCAGAACCUGAAGGAAGUGACGUUUGCGCAGUUUCACAAACAUCAGCGGCCCCAGGUACUCCGGUACUUCCACCUUGAGUUCUGUCUCCUGCGGGCGACAGAAGAGGCUCAGCCCCGGUGGGGCCUGGCGGGAGGGGCACCCGGCUGAGCCCUGCUCCCUCCAGCGCCCACGCCCUUCCUCGGAGCCUCUGAGAGGAGGAGACGUAUCGGGGUGGGGGGACUGAGCCAGAGAGAGAGGGACCGCGCCGAGCAGGUGGCCCCAGGACUCGGUUCUGAGGGGACGGGGACGGCAGGUGAUAAAGCCUGAAAGGUAGAGAUCCAACAGCGCUAGCGGUUGAAACGUUUUUUAAAAUAGAGAAAGCGAGAGGACCGACGGCGGCUCCGGUGACUGCUGAGUUUCCAGACAAGGGAGCUCUGUGCAAUGAGGGGCGCACAGGAGCAUGCCCUCAAUUCCAAGAAGAUCAGGUAGCCGGAAAAUUUAUUAAGCGCUUACUGUGUGCCACCUGCGUGUUUUCUGUCCAAAUCAGAAAAGGAUUUGGACAGAAAACACGCAGGAAGAAGGAAUCAACCCCUGGUACAGCAGGCAGGCGAGGUAGGGGUAGGAGUUAUGCACGUGUAUGCAAGCCUGGAUGGCUGGGAAGCCAACCUCCAUCUAAAGGCAAGCGCGGACAUGCACACACACACACACGCCUCACAAGUUGGAUUGCAAGAGAGGGUGAAGUGGGCGAGGAGACCCAGUCAGCCGUGGCAUUUGAGGAAGGUACAUUUAGGCCACCGAAUUCAUUCCACCAACUUUGCACACUUGUCUUCCUUGUGCCAGGCUCUGGGACUCAUUCCUUUUGAGGGUAAAAGUCUGCCUCCCUGGACUCCUGCCCCUCAGGCGCUCCCACAGCCCGGCACCGCCCCCUCGCCAUUCCGGAGCCAGCGCGGGCUAAGCGGGCCUGGCCGGGGAUGAGCGGAGCCACCGUCCCCAUAUUCCUCGGUGCCCCGGGACCGCAAGAGGGAGCCGUGGUUUCCGGAACUCCUCCCGCCCCUCCGGGCUUUUCCUCUGUUAGGCAGGUGGCGAUUCGCUGUCUUUGCCUGUUAUGGCCGCUGCCGUCGCCCUGGAGACAGGUAACCCUCUUCCAUGACUGUUCCUUAAAGUGGUGCGCUGUCCCAGUAGACCAUGCUCUAGCUUUCCAAGCUGCUAGAACUGUCAGUGUUUCUCAGCCUUGGCACUAUUGACAUUUUGGGACCAGUGAUUCUUCAUCGUUGGCAGAGGGGAGGGUGUUGACCUGUGCACUGUAGGAUGUCAGGUGGCAUCCCCGGACUCUACCCGCUAGGUGCCAGUAGCACCUAAUGUGCCACCCACCCCCUCCCAACAACUUUUCAACCAAACUAAAAUGUCUCUAGAGGUUGCCAUAUAUCCUCUGGGGGACAAAAUCACACUUAGUUGAGAACCACUGUCCCACAUUCUACACACAGAAGCCAAAAGGAUAUUUUUUAAAUGUAAAUGGCAUCAUGUCGUUCCCCUGUUGGAAACCCUUCAAUGUUUUCCUGUUGACCUUAGAAUAAUCUCAAAUUCCUUACUGUGGCUUAGAAGACCUUCUGUGGACUGGCCCCUGCUUGCUUUUAACUCCUCUCUUCCGUUCUGCUUCCAUGUCUAUAUAAUUGCUUCUCUCUCACUCCAGCCACACUGGCCUUCUUUCUGUUCCUUGAACAUUCAAAGCUGGUUCCCAUCCACCCUUUGUAUUUGCUGUUCUUCUGCCUAGAAUGCACCUGUUCCAGAUCACUGUUCAUUCACACAUAUCUCAGAUUACAUGUUAACUAAUCAGCAAGGCCUUCCCUGACCAUUUUAUCAAAAGAAGCCACUUACUUCCAUUCUCUAUCACAUUACCCAUGUAUUUCCUUCAUAGUGCUAAUCACAAUAGAAAAUUGUCUUGUUUCAUCAUUGCUUGUCUGCCUUUUCACCAGAGUGUAAGCUCCACUAGAGCUGGGACUUUGCCUUUUUUACUGCUAUAGCCCAAGUUCCCAGAAUACAGACAGUUCCCAACUUAAGAUGGUUUGACUUAUGAUUUUUCGACUUUACAAUGGUACAAAAGUGACAUUCAGUAGAAAUAGUACUUUAAGUACUCUUACAACCAUUCUUUUUCACUUUUAGUACAGUAUGCAAUAAAUUACAUGAGAUAUUCAACAUUUUAUUAUAAAACAGGCUUUCUGUUAGAUGAUUUUGCUCAACUUUAGGUGUUCUGAGCAUGUUUAAGGUAGGCUAGGCUAAGCCAUGAUGUUUAGUAGGUUAGGGGUAUUAAGUGCAUUUUCAAAUUACCAUAUUUUCAACUUACAAUAGUUUCAACGGGAGGUAACCCCAUCGUAAGUGGAGGAACAUCUAGUGCCUGGCACAGAGCCGGUUCUCAAUAAAUAUAACUCUUCUCCAUCUUCUUCAAACCUCAGGCCAGGUUUCAGUGACCUCCUCUCACUUUCUAAGAUUAUUUUUGCUUGCUGGUGGGUUUACUGUCAUUUUUAACCACAUCUAACCUACCUUAAAAAAGUGUAUGGAUGGGGGUGCCAGGUACAAAGACUUAGCAUAAAGAAAACGACCAUUUACUUUGAAACAUAAACAAAGGCCAAUUAAUAAUUUAUGAGUCUGUUCCUUGUCCCUCGAGUUUUUAGCAGGCAUGGAAUCAUUCCACAGGUCAUUAUUUCAGUUUGGUCUCUGUUCCUAAGGGGUGAAGGUUUUCUGAGGGCUGUGGAUCCCAAACUCACCUGGCUCAGAGGCUCAAACAGCCUCUCUUUGUCCAUCAACCCGAUUUAGACAGCAUCCUGGGCCUGAAAACCUUCUGUGCUGGCUUCAAGUGAAAAUAGUUCACUGGGUCAAAAGUAGGCUGGUCCAAGACGCAGGACGGUCAGUAAACGUUGGCUGUGUUCAGAAACUGCGGCUUGGCUGUUUCUUACAUUGAUUUAUGGUUUGUUUCCAUGAAACCGAAAAUGAUUGGUCCACCUGGCAGCUGGCUGGCUGGCUGGCAA